rnacentral:rRNA from 1 species
UACGGAGGGUGCAAGCGUUAUCCGGAUUUAUUGGGUUUAAAGGGUCCGUAGGCGGAUCUGUAAGUCAGAGGUGAAAUCUCACAGCUUAACUGUGAAACUGCCAUUGAUACUGCAGGUCUUGAGUGUUAUUGAAGUAGCUGGAAUAAGUAGUGUAGCGGUGAAAUGCAUAGAUAUUACUUAGAACACCAAUUGCGAAGGCAGGUUACUAAGCAACAACUGACGCUGAUGGACGAAAGCGUGGGGAGCGAACAGG